AGUCCCUAAUAUUAAAUUGUUACACUACAGUCUCUCCUUUCCAAUUUCCAUUUAUGUUUACUCUCUACCCAUUCAAUUGCAAUUUUCCUCUUCCAAACUCGGUCGUUAUUUUUCGAGUGAAAUUGGAAGUAAAAUCCAAUCGCCAGAUUUCUGGCAAAUGUGAAAUCGUUACCGCAGUCCUGUUGCUCAAAGUCCCGCGAACGCGAAGAUGUAUUUCUCUCUGUUUGGCACAGCCGUCUUGAAGAAAGCCCUUCAUCUCUGGCGAAGACCUACACCGUUGUUUUUGAAAGGUUAGAAUCUCUUUUUUUUUCCGAAUGGAUACAAGUUCUCAAAGGUAUUUCGUGAUAAAUGUUAUGGUUCUUUAUAUUGUUUUCUAACUAAAUUAAUUGAUAUUUUUUCUGAAUUUUUUUAUAGUCUGGUUCUUGAUUGUCAUAGCCUUAAAAAUCCUUUUAUUUUUAAAUUAUUUUAUGAAUACUAAAUAAUAUGUUGUAAAUGGUUAGUAAGGAGUUGUCUUAAUUUCUCUUCUUCGAAAUAGCUGUGGUUGUGUGGGUAUGUUGUGAUUUUCCCGCAGUAGGAAACAGAGACGAAACCCAGAACGGGUGACUCAAGCAGGCAGUGACACAAGCUGCGAGGGUUGGUUCAUCCGGCGGUCAGUGUUUGGCUACAUCGUUGGAUCAACGGCUGACUCAGUCUUUGAAGAAAUUAUGCACUUUAAGUACCUGAAUUGAUUUGAUUUGGUAUAUGGUCCAAUCAGUGUUAAAGAGCCUUCUACAGUAUAUUUUAGAUGUUGCGUGGUGACAUUUCCAAAGGAUUUUGGAUGGUGGCUAUGAUAGGGGCUCAAUAACGGCUAAUAUUUUAACCAACUCAUUUCUCACUUACUUUACCAUCCACAAGUGAGAAUGGACACUUGAGGUAUUGAUGUAAAAUGUCCCCUGCUACUUUAUUGUAAAUUUGUAUACUUCUUCUUUGGAUAAGUUUCAAGUAUGGGUGUGAAUACUAUCGUAUGGAAUUCAUCUCGAUAAAUGUAUCACGAGUAAUUAUAUGGUUCUUAAAAUGAUCGAUUU